rnacentral:rRNA from 1 species
UGAGUAACGCGUGAGGAACCUGCCUUCCAGAGGGGGACAACAGUUGGAAACGACUGCUAAUACCGCAUGACACAUUUGAAUCGCAUGGUUUGAAUGUCAAAGAUUUAUCGCUGGAAGAUGGCCUCGCGCCUGAUUAGCUAGUAGGCGGGGUAACGGCCCACCUAGGCGACGAUCAGUAGCCGGACUGAGAGGUUGACCGGCCACAUUGGGACUGAGAUACGGCCCAGACUCCUACGGGAGGCAGCAG